GACGAACGCUGGCGGCGUGCUUAACACAUGCAAGUCGAACGGAAAGGCCCCUUCGGGGGUACUCGAGUGGCGAACGGGUGAGUAACACGUGAGUAACCUGCCCUUGACUUCGGGAUAACUUCAGGAAACUGGGGCUAAUACCGGAUAGGAAUCCUUGCUGCAUGGUGGGGGUUGGAAAGCUUCGGCGGUUUUGGAUGGACUCGCGGCUUAUCAGCUUGUUGGUGGGGUAGUGGCUUACCAAGGCUUUGACGGGUAGCCGGCCUGAGAGGGCGACCGGCCACAUUGGGACUGGGAUACGGCCCAGACUCCUACGGGGGGCAGCAGUGGGGAAUAUUGCACAAUGGGCGGAAGCCUGAUGCAGCAACGCCGCGUGCGGGAUGACGGCCUUCGGGUUGGAAACCGCUUUCAGCAGGGGCGGAGCUUGUGGUGACGGUACCUGCAGAAGAAGCACCGGCUAACUACGUG
rnacentral:rRNA from 1 species